UUUCUCAGAGUAAUUCUAACAUUGCCCUUCCUGUAACAUGAUGAUCCUGCUGUCCUGGACUGUAUAUGAUGAGCCUACACAUAAUCUCAGAACAGCUGUGGUAAUAACAGGAGACCCAUUAGAUGAGAGCGGCACUGCAGACUUUCCUGAUGGAGGAGAUCAUGGACAAUUUUCACAAGACUGAUGAUGUGUUUCAGCUAUGUUUGUAUCGUAAAUCCUCACAAUGUUUGUAUAUAUAUAUAUUUUUUUUUUAAUUAUGUGCAUUUAUAACACUAUACUUUGUAUUAUAUCACAUUCAUAUCAAAUUACAGAA